rnacentral:tRNA from 1 species
UAGUUAUUAAUUUAAGAAAAAUAUUAAUUUUGUAAAUUAAAAAUAUAUAUAUAAAUAUAUAACUAA